GGAAUUCAUGCCUUGCCCAGGGGAGGAGCCUGCCCUCUUGAGCUCUUGUGGUGACCUGGGAAUCAAUGUGUGAGGUGGUGCUUUUUAGCAGGAACCCCUCUCGCUUUGCAAAUAGUUUUUUGUUUGUUUUCCUUUCUGCCCAAUAGAGCCCUGCUCUACUGACCCUUCAAUGUGCCCGUGUGCCUAAACAUUCCUGGUCGUGUGAAAAGAACCCAGGUAUUAGCUGAACUAAGGAGCACAAUUCUGCAACAUUUUGGCACCCAAACACGGGGCUUGAGAAAUGAAUGCAAUUGGAGAAACCGGUUGUUUUACCAGGCGUUGAUUGGAAAUGUGUGCUUCCCUUUAAGCAGUCAAGCUCAACUUGCAGAGCUGAUGGGAACCCCUUGGGAAAACUGGCCUCAAACGUUUGUCUACACAGUCCACGUACAGGGUUCUUAACCUGUGGUGAGUAAAGAAUGUCACUUUCCAACAGGCCCAGACAUCAUAUGCUCUUGGGACCUCAAGAAGAGAGGAGUUUACCCAAUUCACAGGUGUGUGAGGAUACAAAUCUAGGGCUGGGCUCAGCUUUAAAUGGUCUUAUCUGAGAUUCUUUGUGAAACAGAUUUUCAUGAAAGCCAAUCUAGAGGGCCUACAUAGAAAUAAUUGUUUUUGCUGCACUUUAUGCACAUAAUCAAGCCAAUUAUAAGACUCGAGUCUAUAUUGCAAGCAACACACUCCUAUUAUGAUUUGUUUUUAACAGAAAUGAGGAUGAGACAGAGAGAAAUUAUGUUUCAAAACUUAUCAUCAUUAGUUUCUAGACUUAUUAUUUCUUUUUAAGUUUUUACCUACAUUUUAGACUGACCCUGCUUGUGCCUGUGAACCAACCAACAAUCUCUGGCUGCAGCUCAGAAAGGACAAAAGAGGAUGGGUAAUGUAAAAAUCUGGAUCAGUAUUUUAGUUCUGAACAAUUAUCCUGCAAAUCCUGCCAGCUGAUGGGAAUAAAUAGGAUGCCCAUGAUCCGGAGGUUUACUUUUUGGGAAAGUAAAACCAAGGGAGCUAACCAAAGCAAAACCCCAUACACCCAAAUCUUAGCAAGCAUAACUAUAGCCACCAGUUAUCUGGGUGUGUCACAAGACACCCUUUUCUUUCCUUUGUUGGAGGAGAACUCAUUUCCACAGCUUCACUUUAGCAUUAUGGCUUAUGUUAAGGAGUCUAUGCAACUUCCGUGCUGAGACACGUUUUUGGUCCCAAAGUUAAUUCCAAGCUUUGUGUCAAAGGCCUAAGAAAACUGGAUCUUAGGGAUCCAGAAGCCAGACAAUAAUGAAAGUCAAAAGGCACAGCAUAGGUGAGCAUGACUAAUUCCCGCUGAUUAAGCCAACCUUCCUGUUUCAUGGAUAAAGGUCAUGCUAGUAUCCAUGGCAUAAAUGAGGUCUAGAGAAUUAAAAGGCUACUGCCAGCAGGGGAGAUAGGGAGGACAUAAGACAGGGCAGCUAUUCCCAUCCCCUAGGCCCCCUGUUAACAUGGAUGAAAGCCACUUUGACACCCAUGGGUGGCACCCUGUCACAGUUGGUGGGACUCAGCAAUACAGGGACAGAGGAAAGAAAGAGGAACAACUCACUUUCUCUCCCUCACACACCCUGAGUAUUUGCUAGAAAAAGAAAGGAACCAGGCACACAUGCUCCCCUAUUUCUAGAUGAGUAGCCAUUCAUCUUUAGUCUGCACCCUUUUAGAACAUGUCCUGAACCCCUGGGACUCUUCUGAAAAAAUGCCUUCUUUUUUCCUUUUUCUUCCUCUGUCCUCUAUUCAUUGGUAGGUAGGUAAUGGUGUCCCGUACCACAGAACACUUCCCUCAGAUGCAUCCUUCAAACUGGGAGGAGUUAAUUUCUCAAACCGUAGACUAAUUGGCUUAGGAUUAGGUUCAGGGGAAGGGAACACAGAAAAGUGACAUGCCAGCAAAAGGGUAAAAGGUUUUUUUUCCCCUUUGGGCUUUUGGCCUCUCUCUCCCUGUGCAAACUGGUAAAAGGCCUCUGGAUUUUCUAGUUGUCCUUACCCACUGCUUGUUUCAUUUUGAUACAUAUUUUCUAAUAACCUGUUUGUCUCUUCUCACCUUUAGGCCAUCAGACUGCAAACAGUCUGCACCUGGAGCCUUGGAUGAUGGCCUUUUUUACUGGGAACCCUGAAAUAGGCCUCUGAGGGAAAUCUGAUUGCCAUUUUCCCAAAACAGCUUCCCUGUCAAUAGGAAGCAAUUAAGAUUUGUCUUCAUCCUUAUCUUUAUCCUUAUUCUAAUGGCAGUUAGAGGUACUUCUUUAGAGGGGGGAAUGAGACAGCCAAAUGGCUAGGCAGAUAAAAAGGUGUCCCUGGAGAAUUUCCUACCCGUCACACAAGUGUUUACAUCAGAUGCUUUUGUGUAGAUGAGGGAAAUUUCCCAGGGCUUGUCUGGGUAUGCCCACAGUGGACUGGAGCCCAACAUGCACACUGGAGGAAGUGGGUGGAGCCACAUGGAUGUCAUGCCUUAUGCAGGGGAGGAGCCUGCUCUCUUCAGCUCCUGUGGUAACGUGGGAAUCGAUCUGUGAGGAAACACUUUCUGAAAAUGUCAGAACUCUUGAAAACAUGGAUGAGGAAAAGCAUAAGGACUGCUUUAUGCUUGUCUUAUGAAUUUUAAAAGAUGUAAUUUAAAGGUACUUUAAAGUGAUAUUUGUGCCCUUGUAACUGAUUCAAAGUAGACUGCUAAGGACAAUAAGUAAUAAGAGUCUACAAAUAUCAAUAAAUUAUGAGAAAAAACGGUCUAAUGGUACUUAAAAUUGCAUUGUGAUUUAUUAAAUAACAUAUUGAACAGCUCCACCUGUAACAUUAAGAUUCCAUUUGAGCAUAUAGAAAAUAUAUUUAUCGCAACCUGAAGUGAUUUGGAAAGUACGCUGGGAAGGAAAUAUAUUUACAAAUUAGUCUCAGAGGGUAGGUAUCUUGUAGCCAGAUAGAAUAAGAAGAGAGGGAAGGGAGAUUUUGUUCAAAGGGGGAGCAUAAGCUAAGGAAUAAAGCCACAAACAAUGAUUAAAUUAGGUAAAGUGCAAUUAGCUGAAUAUUGCAUAAGCAUACAUAUGGGAAGAAGUGGAAAAAGGAGUGACAAUAUGAAGCCAAAGGGUUUGAAGUGUUCAAGAUAAUACUAGGCUUCCUAGCCUAUUCCGAGACAUCUUAUUUUAGAGUGCAAUAGAUAAGAACUCUAAGGAUGAAAGUAGGAGACAUGCAUUCUAGUCUACGUUUUGGUUAAUGGACUGAAAGUGAAAGAUGGACUGAAAUUGGGGGAUGGAAUAAAAAUGUGAUAGAAUAGAAAAUAGAAAAAUCAAUUAGCCUAAUGUGAUUGAUACUUAGAGAAAAUAUGGAAAAUAGUAAGUUAGUGAUAUAUAUCUUUUCUAAUUCACCAGGGUGAGUGAACAAAGGAAAUCGGAUUUAAAAGUAUUCAUGACAUAUAUGCAAUAAGGUUUCUCAGUCAGACAUAGCAAAUUGAGGGAAGGGAAGAUUUAGAGGAUUGUAAAAUGUCUGCUUGUAGACUAAUAGGGUAUCAAUAAGCCAUAUGAGCAAUAAUUUGAAAUCGUUUUUUGUAAAGUAUCAUGAAGGUAAACCCUGUUUAGAACAAAUUAGAUUUGAAGUACUUGUGACAAAUGCAGUUAACAAUGCCUUUAUGCAGCUGGAAAAUUGUUGCUUAGCAGAAAAGCUUGUGCUGGACAAAUAGAUGUCCAAAUUGAAUAGAUGUUUUCUUAAGCUGAACUAAUUGAGACAAAUAUCCUUAUUAAAUCAAAAAAUUAAAAAUUGAAAUAACUUGCCUAUGAUAGGGUAAAUAAUUUUAUUAAUAUACACAAGAAAUAUGUGAUGUAUAUGUGUAUGUACAUAGGUAUACAUAGUAAUAAUACUUACAUAGUGCUAUUUUUAAAUGAUAUUUUACAUAGUGCUUUUUUAAAUGAUUUUUCAAUCAUUGUUGUUGGUCUGUGUUAUUUUAAUCAUCAAAGCUGAUUGAUUUCGUUUUUGUGGUUUUUUUUGUUUUUUUGAGGUGGAGUCUCACUCUGUCACCCAUGGUGGAGUACAGUAGUGCGGUCUUAGCUCACUACAAACUCCACUUCCCGGAUUCAAGUAAUUCUUGUGCCUCAGCCUCUCGAGUAGCUUGGAUUGCAGGCAUGCACCACCACGAGCUGCUAAAUUUUUUGUAUUUUUUUGUAGAGACGGGUUUUGCCAUGUUGGCCAAGCUGGUCUCAAACUACUGACCUCAAGUGAUCCGCCCUGGCUUCCCAAGCCCAGCUGAUUCCUGUUUAAAUAAAAACUUACAAAAAUCUUCCCACAAGUACUUUAUCUUACAAUUUACUGAACAAUAGAGGCAGUGAAGAUGUUUUUCAGAAAGCAAUUGUGAUCCUGACAUUUUCUUCUUAUAAUCCUGUGCUUUCCUCAUUUUUUAUAUUAAAAGUAAUAGUUCUUGUGAUGGCACCUAGGAUUUGUAACAACGUGUACCCUCAUUUCCUGCAUGACCUUUUUUAUGUCACUUCUUCAGAUGCAAAGUAUACUCCCUCAGUGUCAUUACAUUAUUUGAUUUUUGCCCUGUUCCCUCACCUUUCCAUGUGUUUAUUUGCCUAUGCCCAUCUCCUAGUCACAUUUUAUCUAGUUAACACCAACUUGACUUUCAAUGCUGUUCAAGAUUUACCUCAAUCUCAAGUGUUUUCUCUUUAUAUUCCAUACACGCUUAGCUUGGCUGCCAAUCCUCUUGGCUGCCAAAGAAUCCCAAAUUAUCUCUUUCAAAAAUACAAGAAAUAAAGGAUGGAGGAUAGGAAGGAGGGUGGUCAGGAAAGAACAAAGAAAAGAGGGGAGAGGAAAAAAAGAGAGAAAGAACGAGAAUUAAAGUUAAGGAGGAAGAAUUUCAUACUGAAUUAAAAUUGAUAAUAUUCAGGAAUGAUUUUAUAGUAGGCAUACAGUGAUAAAUAUUAGUUAAAUUAAUGAAUUAUUCCAAAAGAUCAUGAUUUGUAAAAAUUACCCUGAAGCAUUUUAGAAAUAUUACAUUGAAGUAGGUAUGCAAUUUCAAAAGAAACUGGACUGCAAAAAUAGCCAUUGUGUGUACCUGUGGACCAGAAUAUUAUAUUUUGCUUAAGUUUGAAGUGUUAAAGUGCCCAACUUGCUCUUAUUUUAACCUAGCAAAUUUUCAGCAGAACUUAAGUUCAUAUAGUAGUUGAUUUUUUCAUUUCUCACAACUGUUGGAAUUCUGUUUUAUUGAAAAUUAUACAAUAAAAUGUUAAAAAAUCUUUGUUCCUGCAGUUAUGUAAUCUUAUGCCAAAGUCAAUAAAUUAUUAAAUUAAAAUCAAACCCACUAAGCCUAACAAUUUGAGAAAAUGAUUAUUAAAACAUAUACCAUUUAGAAGGGCAAUGCCUUUUUAAUAUUAUAGUGAAGAAAAAUAACCCUAUCAAUUAUUUAAUACACCAAGAAUACAAGGAUAUAAAAUCUUUUUCUCUCAUAUAUCACAUUAUCUGAUGUAUUUAGCUGUGAUGACAUUCCAGAAAACAUCACUUUUUAAAAUUUCUAAGAUUUUAUUAUGUUGCUAGCAAAUCGAUUUUUUUCAAGUACUGUAACAAAAUCCCUAAAUGGGCUUUAUGAGAACUAUUUUCAGUGUGAUAUUAAUCAUAUUUUAUUUAUCAUCCAUACAUAGAUGGUAGCUUAUCUGGUAUUCCUAGUGUUUGAAGUGAAGAGUAACACACACACACACACACACACACACACACACACACACACACACAUCCCAAUACCAAUUUAAUUGAUAAAUAUAUAAUCAUUUGUUUUCAAAUAUUUAUGUUGAUACUUGCUUGUGUACUUACUUGUAAUGUAGGUCUGUAAAAGGGACUAUUUUCUUUCUGUGAAACUGAAGCUUAAAGCAGUGCUUGUCACAAAUUCAAAAUCACCUUCCUUUGUCAACAUUUUCAGAUGUUUUUGGCUCAGUCUGAUGAGAGCAUCAGUGCAGUAAAGGGAUCUUAUUGAAAUGUUUUAACUAAAGAUAAAAUGUCACCGCUAGGAAAAAAAUAAAAUCAAGGAAAUAAACAGAAAAUCAAUAAAUGUGAAAUGUAAUAUAAAUUUAUAUAAUAACAAUGUAGUAUGCUAUAAACAUCUCACUUUGUAAAAUUAACAAGAAUUCAGUGAGGCAGAUCAUUUUCUAUGUGUUCAGAAGUCAAGUCUUUGAUGCCUAAUUUUUAUAUUACUUCAUUAUAAUAUCUCUACUGAAGCAAAAUAAUUGCAAAUCUUUUUGAAUGAAAUCAAUUUAUCUUUAAUUUUAGAUAAUAUUUGGUAUAGUUGGCAUAGUUUUGUCACAAAGCAUAGCUAACAUCAAUGUAGCCUUACGACUUCAAAUGUCUUUGUAAUUAUAGAUCUUUUCUGAAAUUGCAAAAUUUUACUUUGAAAUUAUUGUUAAUAUUUACGUUGCACAACCACAAAUGUAGAAAUAAAAUUAUAAAGUCUCCA